CAACAGCACCGUUCAAACCGACAAGUAACUAAGCAUUAGUUGAUGAUCAACAGAUAAGCAACUUUAGAGUUUAGUUGACUAUCUGUUGAUCGUCAACUAAUCUAGAGUUGACUAUUAGUAUACUUUCAGUAGGUUCUCCACUAAGCGUUUGUAGGCAUGUGUUAGGACUAUCCAAUUGAAGUGAAAAACAGUUGAGAACAGUAGAAAGUCUAUAACCUAUCAA